rnacentral:rRNA from 1 species
CCUACGGGAUGCAGCAGUGGGGGAUAUUGCACAAUGGGGGGAACCCUGAUGCAGUGAAGCCGCGUGUGGGAAGACGGUCCUCUGGAUUGUAAACCACUGUCCCCAGGGACGAAAAUGACGGUACCUGGGGAGGAAGCUCCGGCUAACUACGUGCCAGCAGCCGCGGUAAUACGGAGGGAGCGAGCGUUGUCCGGAAUUACGGGGUGUAAAGGGAGCGUAGGCGGGGAUGCAAGUUGGGUGUAAAAACUACCGGCUCAACUGGUAGUCGCACUCAAAACUGCAGCUCUUGAGUGAAGUAGAGGCAGGCGGAAUUCCUAGUGUAGCGGUGAAAUGCGUAGAUAUUAGGAGGAACACCAGUGGCGAAGGCGGCCUGCUGGGCUUUUACUGACGCUGAGGCUCGAAAGUGUGGGGAGCAAACAGGAUUAGAUACCCCGGUAGUC